rnacentral:rRNA from 1 species
CAUAGGUUAAUGAGGCGAACCGGGGGAACUGAAACAUCUAAGUACCCCGAGGAAAAGAAAUCAACCGAGAUUCCCCCAGUAGCGGCGAGCGAACGGGGAGGAGCCCAGAGCCUGAAUCAGUGUGUGUGUUAGUGGAAGCGUCUGGAAAGGCGCGCGAUACAGGGUGACAGCCCCGUACACAAAAAUGCACAUACUGUGAGCUCGAUGAGUAGGGCGGGACACGUGGUAUCCUGUCUGAAUAUGGGGGGACCAUCCUCCAAGGCUAAAUACUCCUGACUGACCGAUAGUGAACCAGUACCGUGAGGGAAAGGCGAAAAGAACCCCGGCGAGGGGAGUGAAAAAGAACCUGAAACCGUGUACGUACAAGCAGUGGG